GGAGGGCUAUAGCUUAAUGAUAGAGCAUCUUCUUUGCAUACAGAAGAUCUCAGGUUCAAUCUCUGGUAUCUCCA